rnacentral:lncRNA from 1 species
UUUGCACCUCACAAUGCUUAAUUAGGUCUUUCCACUUUUCUGUGGAAAGACCUAUUGUUUUUCUUCUGAUUAUUUUUUUUUUUUUUUUUUUUUUUUUCUUCCGCCUAAUUUUGUUCUUGCGAUAAACAUUUGUUUCGCAAUAUGUCGCUUAGAUAUUUGGUAUAUGAUAUCGAACAGUUUAUGCGCUUUUGAAAUUUACCCUGCGUAAACGAAUACUUUUCUUUGUAGGAGUUAUCUCCCCAAACACUGUUUUCCUUGUUAGCGCAUCUCCU